GGGGAUGUGGCUCAGUGGUAGAGAGCUUGCCUAGCAUGCAUGAGGCCCUGGGUUCGAUUCCUCAGUACCA
rnacentral:tRNA from 1 species